UGACAGCAGCCGCGGUAAUACGGAGGGGGUUAGCGUUGUUCGGAAUUACUGGGCGUAAAGCGCGCGUAGGCGGCUAAUUAAGUCGGGUGUGAAAGCCCCGGGCUCAACCUGGGAACUGCAUUCGAUACUGAUUGGCUAGAGUAUGAGAGAGGAUAGUGGAAUUUCCGGUGUAGCGGUGAAAUGCGUAGAGAUCGGAAGGAACAUCAGUGGCGAAGGCGACUGUCUGGCUUAAUACUGACGCUGAGGUGCGAAAGCGUGGGGAGCAAACAGGAUUAGAUA
rnacentral:rRNA from 1 species